GCAGGUUUCGCAGGCCCAGCAAGGUGGGCUGUUUUUUAUAUCUGAGGAAGCACCUCCCAGGAAGAGCUUGCAUAGGAAACAAGACUGCUGUGGCAGGCUGGCCCUUUGGACAGGCACUUCGGCCCCUCCUGGACUCCAUUCAGAUCCAGCCUCCAGGAGGGAGCUCCGUGGGCAGACCCAACGGCCAGAGCUAACAGGACUGCCUGGGACCGCCCUGCCUCACCAGGGCUUUUCCUUUUUAAACAAAACAAACCCUACCAGAUUUCUAUUUUAUAAUUUUACAUCAGAGCUAACAACCAGGGGACGGCUUUUUAAAUUUCCCAGGGAAGGAGACCGUCAGGCCGCAUGUAGACAAUGCUGCUAAGAAACAGAACAAAAUGCCACCCCUUCUAAUAGUA
rnacentral:lncRNA from 1 species